rnacentral:rRNA from 1 species
UCAGAUGAGCCUAGGUCGUAUUAGCUAGUUGGUGAGGUAAUGGCUCACCAAGGCGACGAUCCGUAACUGGUCUGAGAGGAUGAUCAGUCACACUGGAACUGAGACACGGUCCAGACUCCUACGGGAGGCAGCAGUGGGGAAUAUUGGACAAUGGGCGAAAGCCUGAUCCAGCCAUGCCGCGUGUGUGAAGAAGGUCUUCGGAUUGUAAAGCUCUUUAAUUGGGAGGAACGGCAGUUUCAUUAUACGUGCUNGUUUUGACGUUACCUACUGAAUAAGCCCCGGCUAACUCUGUGCCAGCAGCCGCGGUAAUACAUAGGGUGCAAGCGUUAUCGGAAUUACUGGGCGUAAAGCGCGCGUAGGUGGUUAGUUAAGUUGAUGUGAAAUCCCCCGGCUCAACCUUGGAAGUGUCAUUCAAAACUGGCUAACUUGAGUACGGUAGAGGAAGGUGGAAUUUCCAUGUGUAGCCGGUGAAAUGCGUCAGAUAAUUAGGAGAGGAAACCACCCAGGUGGGCGAAAGGGCGGACCAUCUGGUCCUGAUACUGACGCCUGAAGUGCGAAAGCCGUGGGAUCAACCAG